UGGAAGUUCAGAUCCCUGCCGGUGUGGUCGCCGGUUACCUGCACCAGAUAUGGACGCCUUGGUCCCCCUGUAUCGCCGUCUGCGACGCCCAAGGUAAAGCGACGCUCUGGGUCGACGGCCCCUGCGUCACAACCGACUGCUGCUUCCAGGACGUCGUAUAUCGGGUAAAGACUAAAGAUGACACUCAGAUCGGUCUGAUCAUCCGGCAGUAUCCAGGUGUCCUGAGGGACGUUUUUACAGACGCCGAUAAUUUCUGUUACGUUUCCGGUGGACUUGGAGGUUACUUACAAAGCCAUGCUGAUUGCCUGCACCAUACUUCUGGAUUACAUGUACUACGAAGACCGCGACCGGAAGCGGCGCGACGACACCAGUGGAGCAGUUGGAGCAGUCCAAGCAGUUGACGUGUUGAACAGCGUCGUAAACUAAAGGGACGCCGUCGUGGGAAAGUUCAGAACCUUGUGUGAUGCGCUUCAAGCCAAUACUUUCUUGGACACCAAAUGCAGGGGAUGAAGUACUGUGAUCCGUACACUUACUCUGCACUUAUUUCUAAAUUCCGUUACUAUCUAUACAUAUUUUCAAAGUAGUAAUUGCCCAAUCAUCGCACCGCACUGUACCCCUGCAUGGUGUAAACUUGCGUAAAAUCAAAGUGGUUGAACCAGGGCUGUACCUUUUCAGCCUCACGCGAUUUUUUUUUCUUGUGUCGUAUAUGGCUUAUUAUAUGCCACUAUGUGCCUUUCAUAUUCCAGGCCGGAGGUGCAUAUUGGAUUUUCGAGAUACUGUGCAGCCAAUUAUUUUGCGAAACAUUGUUUGUUGACACUCGCAUUGUGUCUCUGGAGAGUAUGCCCUAAAAUACAGGGGAAUGUGUGGUCAGUUGUUUCUGUCUUGAAGGCCAUAGAAACGUGUCCCACCGCAUUUUCUUCACAUAUCGUUAUAUGCUUGAGCGAAGUAACUAGGACUAUCAGCGGCGGACAGGCGUAUACACAUGGAGAGAGGACCGUGCAACAUCCCGUGCUUUUUGCAAUGAACGUAACUGCGAUGCUAUGGUGCUCACGCGCUUCCAGGAGCGCGCCCCUGGUGAUUACUUCACAGCACUUGCUGCAAAUCCACGCAAAUUGAAUAUCUACAAUAAAAUGAACAAUCCGCACAAUACACACCAGCCUUACAACUUACAUACUGCGCGCUACAUGCUGAUGAAGAGCUGCUUACGAAGCAUUAUCCUACAGCGAGAAAGAAGGUGAUUAUACAGAGCAGAUAAUGGCAAGAAAUCUUCCCUAACUGGUUCAAAACUGGGCACUAUACACACACGUACUUCUAUUGUAAUUCAGGCUGUCUAGAACAACGUGCUAGACAUGCAAUGCAUAAUUUUGAAGCCACAAAUGGAUUUCAUAUCCGUUAUCCCUGCUUGUAAUAUUUAUAUUUAUAUUAGUUUUCAGCGCAGAUGUU